AAUCUCUUAGUUUACAUAAAACACUAAAUUGCAAAUUUAA
rnacentral:tRNA from 1 species